AAGUUAGGUUAAACAAACCAGGGGCCUUCAAAGCCCCAAACAAGAGCAACCCGCCCUCCUAACUUCU
rnacentral:tRNA from 1 species